rnacentral:tRNA from 1 species
GUGGCCAUGGUGUAGUGGUAACACUAGAGGUUGUGGUCCUCUCGUCACGGGUUCGAUCCCCGUUGGCCACCCCA